UACGAAGGGGGCUAGCGUUGCUCGGAAUGACUGGGCGUAAAGGGCGCGUAGGCGGCUUGUAUAGUCGGAUGUGAAAUUCCUGGGCUUAACCUGGGGGCUGCAUACGAGACGUAUGGGCUUGAGUGCGGAAGAGGGGUUGUGGAAAUUCCCCAGUGUAGAGGUGAAAUUCGUAGAUAUUCGCAAGAACACCAGUGGCGAAGGCGGCUCACUGGCCCGGUACGUGACGCUGAGGUGCGAAAGCGUGGGGAGCA
rnacentral:rRNA from 1 species